CAGAGAGAACGAGCGGAACAGACCGGUUUUCUCCCCGCCCUGUCGCUCGGCGCAAUUGGGUCCUGCGCGGCAGAUGUCUGUGAACCCCGCCAGGUCCGUGAGGAAGCAACGGUAAAUGGACCUCUCUGGGCGUCGCAGGGUUGCCUGAUUGCGCUGAGCGGCAGGGCCGGGCGAAAGCCGGUUUUCUG
rnacentral:SRP_RNA from 1 species